GAACAUAUGGCUUAAUUGGUCAGAGCGCUUGGCCAAAGAGGCGCGGGUUCAAAUCCCGCUACGUUCA
rnacentral:tRNA from 1 species